rnacentral:lncRNA from 1 species
GUUGAGUAUUCCUUAUCUGAAAUGCUUGGGACCAGAUGUGUUUCAGGUUUCAGAUUUUAGAAUAUCUCCAUAGACUACCAGUUGAGCAUCCUGUCUUGAGAAUUCAAAAUCCAAAUGCUUCAAAGUCUGAAACCUUUUGAGCCUUGACACCUUGUAGGGCAGUUUGACAAAAUCCUAAUUUAAAACACAGAUAUUCCUUGACUUGACAAUUUCACUUCUUAGACUUUAUCUUACAGAGCACCCAUGUAUGUAAAGAUCUGUUUUUUAAUUUUAUUUGCUUUUUAAAUUGACAAAAUUGUAUCUAUUUAUCCUGUACAACAUGUUUUGAGAUGCAGUAUAUGCACAUUGUGGAAUGGCUAAAUCAAGCACAUUAAUAUGCAUUAUUUCACAUGGUUGUCAUUUUUGUGGUGAAAACACUUAAGAUCUACUCUCUUAGCAUUUCUCAACCAUACUAUAAUAAUCACAUUGUACAAUGGAUCUCCUGAAUUUAUUUCUCUUGCCUACUAUUUUGUAUCAUGUAAAAUUCUACUUUUAAAAAGUGGUCAUUGCAGCAUUAUUUGAAAUAGCUAUAGACUGGGAAUGGGCCACAUACUUCAUGGGCUGGUGCCUAGUGAACUGGUUCAUCUGUACUGUGGAAUGUGUCUUUAAAAACAGUCAAGUAUGUCUGUAUUUGUGGAUAUUGAAUGAUCUCUAAAUUCAGAAAAAUUAAUGUGUCUCCUCUGUUUGAAAAAUGAGCCAGAUUCUCAUAUAUAUAUAACUUUAAAAGUUCAUGAAAGAAUAUAAAGAAAUUAUAAGCAGUGUUCUCCAGGUGUCUAGAGUAGGAGAAAAUAUUUGUAUUUUAUUGAGAUGUGAUGCACAUGACAUAAAAUUCACCUUUUUUGUUUGGUUGGGUUUUGGUUUUUUUGCGACAGGGUCUCACUCUGCAGUUCAGGCUGGCCUUGAGCUCACAGCGAUCCUCCUGCCUCAGCUUCCCAAGUGCUGAGAUUACAGGAUCCUGGACACACAGGAUGCGUGGAGGAUGGUGCCCAUUUAAAACUGCACUGGGAAGGCACGCCUACUGCUCAAGAGACCUGGGAACUUGUUGUGUAUAAGACCGUCUGUUAGUUUCCAUUCUACACUUAACUACUGUUUAGGUUGGGUUUAAGCUAAACUUCUGACUUUCAUGUAAACAUAUGGUUGAUACAACAAUGGAAGAUUCAUAUUUGUGAGGCAGGAAUGAAAGGUUGAUGAAGGCAGCCCCAGUAUUUAUUUACAUAUAUAUAUAUGUGUGCCAAUAUUUAAAUGUUUAUAGCCAGGCGUGGUGGCACAUGCCUGUAAUCCCAGCACUUGGGAGGCUGAGGCAACAGGAUCGCUGUGAGUUUGUGGCCAGCCUGGGCUACAUAGUGAGAUGAGACCUUGUCUCAGAAAAGCCAAAAAAAAACAAAAAACAUUGUAGAUUUGCAAUUUUACUUCAUAUUUUAACAUGUAUGAUAGAAGAGUUUCAUUCUUUCUGGAGUUGAAGAGUUUUGUAGUUCUUUAUAACUAUUUAAAAGGAAAUUGUUACUCCUUUUAAGAAAUAAUUGGAAAAAAAGUAUGAUUUGUUGAUACAUAAAUAUAGCAAAAAUAGUUUUAUAUAAGGGUAUAUUUGUUCUUAAGGUAUGAAACUUAAUGAACUUGUGUAGAAAUUUUUAUUUUUCAUUUUCUGCUUUAAAUUUCCAAUAAACCAACUCUAAAAAGUAAUUUUCUGCUUCUGCUAACAAAGAUAAAGCUCUAUUUUUAACUUAGGAAAAGUUUCUAAUGUCAUUGUGACAUACUGAAGUAAAGUUUAUAUUUGAUUAGAAAACUGUUUAUUAAGAUAAAACAAUUUCAAAUUGGUAAAGUGAAUCUGAUUGUUAAUAAACAUUAUUUCAUAUGAUUACUAGCCAUUUAAUUAGUAACUAUCAAAAAGGACUGUUCUUAAUUUGUAAAGUGAAAAUCUGCAGAAUGUUAAUUCUAAUUGAAAUUUUUAGAAUUUUUAUUUUAAGAUAAGUUCAAGCAAGCAGAGUAUUAUCAAAUAAAGGGACACUGGAAUAACAGAAGUGUGUUUUGGAAAUUGCUUGUUAAUGAAAUGAAUGAUAUUAAUGAAAUACUUCCUUUAAAGUUCAUAAGAUUCAGAAAACUAAACAUAUAUCUUCAUGUUUGUUUCUCAGUAAUCUUCACAUCAAGGCAUGUUUGCUAUUUUUUUAAUUGACCAUAAUACAUUCUGAAGGUAUCUCAUUUAUAAAAAUACUUUUUGGAUAGUUUUGCUAGUAGAAAGAUGAGGAAGUUGGGCUUUGGAUAUGAAUAUACUAGACCAGGAAAAUAAAAAUGGAGAACAUUAUUUCAUUGAGUUUACAUAAAAAUGUCAUCUCAUUCCUAAAGUCUGAGUGUGUUAAGAACCAGAAGUGUUCUCUGCACAGGUCCCAGUAUGGUACAGUCCAAUUGAAAACUGUGGUGAAUGUUUAAAGAAAUGUAUUACAGUAAGAAACACAUUGCCUUUAACGUAACAGUUCUGGAACUUUCCCGAGUGUCUUUAGUUACACUGUGUGGCUGCCUCAGCAUUCUGAAUCAGUUCAAAACUGACCUUUCGUGGUCAUUUUGACUUUGGAGAAGAACCAAAAGUUGCUCACUACCAGCUCUGGUGAAUAAGAGGCAUUGGGUGGCACUGUAAUGUUUUUAUGAGCCUGUCUUUCCAUUGGACAGCACUCGGCAAGAGCAUUCACUGUAUUUUUUUCAUCACAUCUCACAAAGACACAAAAGAGGACUCCCAGAACGGGUUUAGAAAGUGGCAAGAAUGAUGGGAUAAGUGUGGUCAAUGUGAAGGGAUUGGUGGCAGUGUGUCUUCUACCUUAAUAAAUUUUAAAAAAUUUAAACAUUCACUUCCUAUUUUCAUCACCCCUUAUAUUAUGAAGGAGGGAAAGACCACCUUGUAACUGGCAAGUUCUGGAGUCUGACAGUAGUUUUCUGUCUCUCUGCAUACAGUG